GAUUAACGCUGGCGGCGUGCCUAAUACAUGCAAGUCGAGCGAACGGACGAGAAGCUUGCUUCUCUGAUGUUAGCGGCGGACGGGUGAGUAACACGUGGAUAACCUACCUAUAAGACUGGGAUAACUUCGGGAAACCGUAGCUAAUACCGGAUAAUAUUUUGAACCGCAUGGUUCAAAAGUGAAAGACGGUCUUGCUGUCACUUAUAGAUGGAUCCGCGCUGCAUUAGCUAGUUGGUAAGGUAACGGCUUACCAAGGCAACGAUGCAUAGCCGACCUGAGAGGGUGAUCGGCCACACUGGAACUGAGACACGGUCCAGACUCCUACGGGAGGCAGCAGUAGGGAAUCUUCCGCAAUGGGCGAAAGCCUGACGGAGCAACGCCGCGUGAGUGAUGAAGGUCUUCGGAUCGUAAAACUCUGUUAUUAGGGAAGAACAUAUGUGUAAGUAACUGUGCACAUCUUGACGGUACCUAAUCAGAAAGCCACGGCUAACUACGUGCCAGCAGCCGCGGUAAUGCGUAGGUGGCAAGCGUUAUCCGGAAUUAUUGGGCGUAAAGCGCGCGUAGGCGGUUUUUUAAGUCUGAUGUGAAAGCCCACGGCUCAACCGUGGAGGGUCAUUGGAAACUGGAAAACUUGAGUGCAGAAGAGGAAAGUGGAAUUCCAUGUGUAGCGGUGAAAUGCGCAGAGAUAUGGAGGAACACCAGUGGCGAAGGCGACUUUCUGGUCUGUAACUGACGCUGAUGUGCGAAAGCGUGGGGAUCAAACAGGAUUAGAUACCCUGGUAGUCCACGCCGCAAACGAUGAGUGCUAAGUGUUAGGGGGUUUCCGCCCCUUAGUGCUGCAGCUAACGCAUUAAGCACUCCGCCUGGGGAGUACGACCGCAAGGUUGAAACUCAAAGGAAUUGACGGGGACCCGCACAAGCGGUGGAGCAUGUGGUUUAAUUCGAAGCAACGCGAAGAACCUUACCAAAUCUUGACAUCCUUUGACAACUCUAGAGAUAGAGCCUUCCCCUUCGGGGGACAAAGUGACAGGUGGUGCAUGGUUGUCGUCAGCUCGUGUCGUGAGAUGUUGGGUUAAGUCCCGCAACGAGCGCAACCCUUAAGCUUAGUUGCCAUCAUUAAGUUGGGCACUCUAAGUUGACUGCCGGUGACAAACCGGAGGAAGGUGGGGAUGACGUCAAAUCAUCAUGCCCCUUAUGAUUUGGGCUACACACGUGCUACAAUGGACAAUACAAAGGGCAGCGAAACCGCGAGGUCAAGCAAAUCCCAUAAAGUUGUUCUCAGUUCGGAUUGUAGUCUGCAACUCGACUACAUGAAGCUGGAAUCGCUAGUAAUCGUAGAUCAGCAUGCUACGGUGAAUACGUUCCCGGGUCU
rnacentral:rRNA from 1 species